GACGGAAGUACAAGUGCUAAGUGUUUGCCACAAGUACAGGUGCUAAGUGUAUAAUAUUAUCUCUUUGACAACUAUGCAUGUCCUGCUGGGAAGCCCAUUAUUAUCUGAUUGAAUUAUGUAGGUCAUAUUUAAGCCAUGUAUUGUUCCAUGGGGUAACAAGACAUAAGCUAUACUUUUAAAGUUAGAGACCUCUGAUUGGACUCAGUAAAUUCCUAUGGAUGCCCCACCUCUUCUAGAAGUAAUAGGUGACAUCAGACAGGAUAGUUGGAAAAGCAAGAUAUGAAGAUAGUAAGCUCAUGGAUGAGAUUUUUGAAAUUGAAAUGAUCGAUGCCGUCAAGAGGCUUUGGAUCUAAUAAUGAAGUCAACUUCGUCUUUAUUGUGUUUGAGGUCUAAAAAGUUGUUGCAAGGGGGUGUAAUACGUUGUGCCCAUCUCUAGAAACUUGUGAGAAGCUUCUGUAAUCUUGGAUUAUCUUUCAUACCCUGAGGCCCUAGCCAGCCAACUCUCUCUCUCUCUCUCUCUCUCUC
rnacentral:lncRNA from 1 species